rnacentral:rRNA from 1 species
UUAAACGUCCAUACUACGUUGAAUACACCGGUUCUCGUCCGAUCACCGUAGUUAAGCAAUGUCAGGCAGUACUUGGAUGGGUGACCGCCUGGGAACACCACGUGUUUCAA